CUUUAUCCAAUUAUGCUGACUAUGUUCCUUUCCUCCUGGGGCCUGGUGUGCAGUGGCAGCCAAUAGCAGCCUACUUGGGACGCUGCUUGUAUGGGUUUCUCUAAGAGACCUCGGAAACAGAA
rnacentral:snoRNA from 1 species